UCAGUGCUCUGGCACUGAGGUGUGACAUACCCACAUUGUUCCAGAACUGGCACACUGCUGUGAGCACCUCAGCUUGCUUUCUGCUACCAAGACUUUCAGUCCAAGUCUGAAGUACGACUCACCCGUAUGGAAAAUCACUUCCUCUAUAACCCCCACUGCCUCUCCCCUCUCUUUCUCCUCCUCGGUUAAUGUGUUGACAUGGCCCUCAGAGUCACCUGAGGGGAAAAACAGAAUCUCCUGAGUCAUUGCUCCAGUUCUUCUUCCAGAAGUAUGACAACAGGCCAAGACGUCAAGGCCUUUGGGCAGGUUUCUGACAGGGGUUGCUCUGGUUGAGCCUUCCUCAGGCAUCAAAAGGCAAAGAGAGAGACAGGCUCUGUCACAUUAUGCAGGCCCUCCUCUCCUGGCUUUGAUUGAGAGUAGUGAUCCAAAACUGAUGCAGAGAGGAGCUGGAGCUCACCUCUUGUCAACGGCGGAUGUUCUCCGCAGGCAGACAGGCAAGCGGCAAUGACAAUGUUGGAUACGCUUCGUGGGCUCUGACAACCCCCUUCACACUUUGACACACUUGGUGAUAUCUCACUCAAUGUUUGCUAUUGUCUUAAAAAGGUAUCGAUUGUAAGACAGUUGCAGAUAGGAUUCAGAUGUGUGUUAAAUAUUGGCUGCAUGUAGAUUCCUUACAUUUCUCCUCAGCUGGGUUGGUUGGUUUUGAAGAAUGUGAAAAUAUCUCUGCUUUACUUUUAACUUAACACAUUUUUUUUUUAGUUUGUCCAAUUAAACCAAAUUGUGUUCUGUGUGUAGCAUUGCAACUCAUGUGUGCAGUUUUUUCAUUUUGGAGUUCAAAGCAUUCAGAACUGCAAUAUAUUCCCCAGAUCUGCAUAUAUUUUAUAGGAUUUUUUUCUACCACUGACAUCUGUGGCAUUUUAGAGACCACCUGUAUAUUGUGUAGAAAUGAAACUAUUUUCUUUAAAUUUUAUUCUGUUGUAAUUUCAGUUUAACAGAGAAUUAACAAAAUGUCAGAUAAAAGUCAUUGCAUAUGUAAGUCUGGCUCUUCCAAUUAAAAAGGUUUGGAUCCUGAA